rnacentral:rRNA from 1 species
AGUCGAGCGGCAGCGCGGGGCAACCUGGCGGCGAGCGGCGAUCGGGUGAGUAAUGCAUCGGAACAUGUCCAUGUCGUGGGGGAUAGCCCGGCGAAAGCCGGAUUAAUACCGCAUACGCCCGAGAGGGGAAAGUGGGGGACCGCAAGGCCUCACGCGAUUGGGUUGGCCGAUGUCCGAUUAGCUAGUUGGCGGGGUAAAGGCCCACCAAGGCGAUGAUCGGUAGCUGGUCUGAGAGGAUGAUCAGCCACACUGGGACUGAGACACGGCCCAGACUCCUACGGGAGGCAGCAGUGGGGAAUUUUGGACAAAGGGGGCAACCCUGAUCCAGCCAUUCCGCGUGAGUGAAGAAGGCCUUCGGGUUGUAAAGCUCUUUUGUCCGGGAACGAAACGGGUAGCGUGAAUAUCGCUGCCUACUGACGGUACCGGAAGGAUAAGCACCGGCUAACUACGUGCCAGCAGCCGCGGUUAAUACGUAGGGUGCGAGCGUUAAUCGGAAUUACUGGGCGUAAAGCGUGCGCAGGCGGUUUUGUAAGCCAGAUGUGAAAUCCCCGGGCUUAACCUGGGAAUGGCAUUUGGGACUGCAGGGUUCGAGUGCGGCAAAGAAACUGGAAUUCCUGGUGUAGCAGUGAAAUGCGUAAAUUUCAGGAGGAACCCGAUUGGCAAAGGCAGGUCUCUGGGCUGACCCUGACGCUCAUGCCCAAAGCGUGGGGAGCAAACAGGAUUAAAUACCCUGGUAU